rnacentral:rRNA from 1 species
GACGAACGCUGGCGGCGUGCUUAACACAUGCAAGUCGAACGGAAAGGCCCUGCUUUUGUGGGGUGCUCGAGUGGCGAACGGGUGAGUAACACGUGGGUAACCUGCCCUUGACUUUGGGAUAACUUCAGGAAACUGGGGCUAAUACCGGAUAGGAGCUCCUGCUGCAUGGUGGGGGUUGGAAAGUUUCGGCGGUUGGGGAUGGACUCGCGGCUUAUCAGCUUGUUGGUGGGGUAGUGGCUUACCAAGGCUUUGACGGGUAGCUGGCCUGAGAGGGUGACCGGCCACAUUGGGACUGAGAUACGGCCCAGACUCCUACGGGAGGCAGCAGUGGGGAAUAUUGCACAAUGGGCGGAAGCCUGAUGCAGCAACGCCGCGUGCGGGAUGACGGCCUUCGGGUUGUAAACCGCUUUCGCCUGUGACGAAGCGUGAGUGACGGUAAUGGGUAAAGAAGCACCGGCUAACUACGUG